UACGUAGGGGGCAAGCGUUGUCCGGAUUUAUUGGGCGUAAAGAGCUCGUAGGCGGUUCGGUAAGUCGGGUGUGAAACCUCCAGGCUCAACCUGGAGAAGCCACCCGAUACUGCUGUGACUAGAGUCCGGUAGGGGAGCGUGGAAUUCCUGGUGUAGCGGUGAAAUGCGCAGAUAUCAGGAGGAACACCAAUGGCGAAGGCAGCUCGCUGGGACGUUACUGACGCUGAGACGCGAAAGCGUGGGGAGCAAACAGG
rnacentral:rRNA from 1 species